AUUUUCUUAGUAGCGGCGAGCGAAAAGAAAUCAGUUCAGCACUAAGUCACUUUGUCUAUAUGGCAAAUGUGAGAUGCAGUGUAUGGAACAUCAAUCUUCUGGUAUGAGAAAUUAAUGAUUUAAGUCCUUCUUAAAUGAGGCCAUUUACCCAUAGAGGGUGCCAGGCCCGUAUAACAUUAAUGAUUACUAGAUGGUGUUUCCAAAGAGUCGUGUUGCUUGAUAGUGCAGCACUAAGUGGGUGGUAAACUCCAUCUAAAACUAAAUAUAACCAUGAGACCGAUAGUAAACAAGUACCGUGAGGGAAAGUUGAAAAGAACUCUGAAUAGAGAGUUAAAUAGUACGUGAAACUGCUUAGAGGUUAAGCCCGAUGAACCUGAAUAUCCAUUAUGGAAAAUUCAUCAUGAAAGUUGUAAUAUUUAAAAAAUAUUAUAGUAAUAGUGUGCAUUUUUUCCAUAUAAGGACAUUGUAAUCUAUUAGCAAAUAACAAAUUUAUCAUAAAAUAUGGCUUAUAGUUUAUUUGAAUUAGUAUGCUUGCAUGCUAACAUAAAAUAAAUGCUGUUCAAUUUGAUAAAGUGUUGAUAGAUUUAUAAUAAUACAGUGCGUUAAUUUUACGGAAUUAUAUAAUGGCAUAAUAAUCUUAUGAUUUUUAUGUUUAUUAUAUGCACUUGUAUGAUUAACAAUGCGAAAG
rnacentral:rRNA from 1 species